GACGAACGCUGGCGGCGUGCUUAACACAUGCAAGUCGAACGGAAAGGCCCUGCUUUUGUGGGGUGCUCGAGUGGCGAACGGGUGAGUAACACGUGAGUAACCUGCCCUUGACUUUGGGAUAACUUCAGGAAACUGGGGCUAAUACCGGAUAGGAGCUCCCGCUGCAUGGUGGGGGUUGGAAAGUUUCGGCGGUUGGGGAUGGACUCGCGGCUUAUCAGCUUGUUGGUGGGGUAGUGGCUUACCAAGGCUUUGACGGGUAGCCGGCCUGAGAGGGUGACCGGCGACAUUGGGACUGAGAUACGGCCCAGACUCCAACGGGAGGCAGCGGUGGAGAAUAUUACACAGUGGGCGGAAGCCUGAUGCAGCAACGCCGCGUGCGGGAUGACGGCCUUCGGGUUGUAAACCGCUUUCGCCUGUGACGAAGCGUGAGUGACGGUAAUGAGUAAAGAAGCACCGGCUAACUACGUG
rnacentral:rRNA from 1 species